rnacentral:lncRNA from 1 species
ACCGGAUAUGGACCGAACUGUCUCAUUGUCAAUGAGCUGUUGGGUGUUUUAUGAAGCUUUUUGUCUUUGUUGCUGUUUUAAGUCCAAUGAUUAUUUUUUCCGUUACUUGAAGAGCCAGUAGAUGAUAAAUUACUCUAGAUUUGUCCCCCUUUUUUGGACAUCAUUAUACAUUAUGCGAUUAAUGUACUCAGAACCCCUGACACGUGUAGUAUCUUAAUCAAAUAGAAAUCUAACGUUAUAAUUCAGAUAUGCUCUGUUUCUCCUGGAACAAAAAAUGUGGCUUAGGCAUCCCCAGAAGCUAAAUUCUGAUAUUAUUUUACCUUUUUAUGGAUGUUACCUCAUUUAACCUCGAUUACACAGUCCGUAUUGAUGGGUUUUAUUUCUUUCGCAGACUAAAAUUCUGUUGAUUUCUGUACAGGUGGUGAUUGGAUACAGUGUGCUUCCUUUGUCAACACAUGCUCAGUAAGUCUCCAUUUCCUUCACGUUAGACCUUUUUCUAGGUGUUCUUCUGAACGAUUUUCGCCUUCAGUAUUAUGCUAAGAUCAUCAAAUGUGGUCUGGCAUUUGUUUUUUGUGGCAAACCAAUCAUUUAGACAAAAAAAUACGAUGUGCUGUUUUACUCAGGUUGCGAUCUGAAAUUUCUUUACCAAUAAUGAGAGAAUUGGUUC